rnacentral:rRNA from 1 species
AGAGUUUGAUCCUGGCUCAGGGUGAACGCUAAUAAUAUGCUUUACACAUGCGAGUUGAACGGAAUUUUUCGUAGCGAACGGGUGAGGAAUACGCAAAUUUAAUAAAAAAAAUCUACCUUUUAAUUCAAGAUAAACUAUACUUAUUAACAAUAUUAAUUGUUAAUAAGAAAAAAUCAAUUUUUGAUUUGUAGUAAUAUUGAAUAAGUAUAUAUAAAGAUUAUAUAAUAAUCGUUAAAAGAUGAAUUUGUGUAAGAUUAGGUUGUUGGUAAAAUUAAUAGCUUACCAAGCCUUCGAUCUUUAGUUGGUCUUAGAGGACGUCCAAUCACACUGGAACUGAGACAAGGUCCAGGCUAAUUUUUGGCCAGCAGUGAGGAAUAUUGGACAAUGAACGAAAGUUUGAUCCAGCAAUAUUAUGUGAAUGAUGGACGGCUAAUUUUUGGUUGUAAAGUUCUUUCAUUAAAAAUGAUAAUGACAUUAUUUAAAGAAGUUUUAGUCCCGGCUAAUCUCGUGCCAGCAGCCGCGGUAAUACGGGAGGGGCAAGCGUUAUCCAAAAUUACUGGGCGUAAAGUGUCCGUAGACUGUAAUAUAAGUUUUAUGUUAAAAUUUAAAGCUUAACUUUAAAAAAAUAUACAAUACUGUUUUACUUGAGUUUUAUACGGAAGAGUAGAAUUUCAUGUCAAAGAGUAAAUUCUAAAAAUACAUGAAGGAAUAUCAAAAGCGAAGGCAACUCUUUAGUACAAACUGACGUUGAGGGACGAAAGUGUAGGGAGCAAACAGGAUUAGA